AAUAAAACACACAAUGUCUGAUUGGAAAUUAGGAUGUUCUGUGUACUGGCCAGUGUUCUCCUCGGAUUGACAGUGGAUUGUUCUCUGCAUAGGUUCUUUGGAUAGUGGUUCCUUAAACCAUUUACACAUUGUACCAUCUUCCCCAUCAUUAUGGGAAGAAGAGAUUCAAGACAAAUGACUUAUUAUUAGACUAUUUAUCAAAGCCAAACCACACACACAAAUAUAAUGCUCAGGUGAGCAGGUUCACUUUGGCCCACUCCUGUGUUGACACAACUAAAGGGUGCCAUAGUUUGAGAACUGCUGCAAAACUACAAAAUGCUUAUUUUGUGCUCAGGUUUUCCUUGAUUACAACUAGAGUCCACUAUUAUAUAUUUUUUAUACACAUUUAUUCCAAUAUCAUUUAGUUCAACACAAGUCAUUUUUUUCUUGUUGGCCUUGCAGCCUGCUUUUUAAAAAGAAACUUGGAAAUUUGAUUAUUUAAACUGAAUUAUUUUAUUAUUAAAACCUCUGAAACAUGGAUUUGUGUCUGUUAAGAAAUAACGUGCUGUUACCUAUGAAGAUACUAUUCACCAUAAUAUUGUCUGGUUCAGAGGACACCAGUUCUAGUACAGCACUUGUAAUAACAUUUUAAGCAUGUUGAGAAGUAGAACAUAGACCCAACCAAUUUUGUCUUAAAGAAACAUAUAUAAUCACCUUUGUAACAGCGGUCUUUUGUAUCAUAUCCUUAAUGUGACUGUUCCACAUUUCCUGUGGCCCACACAAAUUACCAACAUGUGCAAUUGUGCAAUAAAUCCAACAGGAGGCAAUAGUAGUAUGCAUGUUAAGGCAAAUUCACCAUACACACUGGAUCUAAUUUACAGCCUAAUAUUUUGGGGAGGAUCAAACCAUUUCUUUUUGUGUAAGGGACAAGAAACACAAGCUUUGUUUUUUUAAAUAAAAUUUAUAAAACAACAUUAUUUUUUAACUGAACUAAAUAUAAUAAAUGUUGGUCAUGUCUCAUUAUCUUUUACCCAAGACUAAACUAAAAUAAUAAAUAAAAUGAAAUGUUAGUAAAGUAAAAAAACUUAACAUAAGGAACUUAUUUCUUUGAAACUAUUUUCACAUACACUGAAAAAAAAAAAAAAUUCCAACCCUUUU